CAAUGUGGUGUUUAGGUCGUUCCGCGGAGGCACUGCUCCAUCCUAAGUCCAGCAUUGAAUAUGGUAUGGACAUGGCCCAUUGAGGGUGAAAGGCCCGUGUGGGUGGAGGUUCAUGUUACCGGUGUCUCCCUGGGUAGACCUUGGAGUCGGGUUGUUUGUGAAUGCAGCCCAAAGUGGGUGGUAAACUCCAUCCAAGGCUAAAUACAAGCACGAGUCCGAUAGCGAACAAGUACCGUGAGGGAAAGUUGAAAAGUACUUUGAAGAGAGAGUAAACAGUACGUGAAACCGCUCAGAGGUAAACGGGUGGAGUUGAACUGCAAUCCUUGUGGAUUCAGCUGGUGAGUGUGGUUUGAGCUUGGUUAAAUUGGUUGAUCUCAGGGGUCUGCGUAUUGGCAGGUCUUCACUUUCGGGUGAGGAUGCGCGAUGCACCUACCAUGUGCUGUGCGCCUCGGGGUUAUCGGACCUACUCGCCAGUGCACUUCUGCAGGGUGUUCACCACGACCGGUGUCGCCGUCUGACUGUUGUGGUUAAACCGGUCUUGCAUUUUCCUUGUGAUUUUGCUUGGUCGGGAUGGCAGGUAGCUCUUCGGUGACUGUGGCUUGCUGCAGUUGCCUUUGGGUGUAAUCAGCUGACUGCAAUGGUUCUGUGCGGUACGUCGGAGACAGCGGCUAGUUGUGUGUGCUUUCGUGCCAUUGCGUGGGCAUGCUCGGGUCUGAUUGUCWUGUUGCUCGCUUAAUGUGGGCCUGGCAGUGACUCGGGUUUGUUCUGUGGUGGUUGCGUUUGUGUCACUUUACAGGGCCAAUAGUCUGUGGUGUAGUGGUAGACGAUCCACCUGACCCGUCUUGAAACACGGACCAAGGAGAGUAACAUGUGCGCGAGUCAUUGGGCGUAACGAAACCCACAGGCGAAGUGAAAGUAAAGGCUUGGCUUGUCCAGGCUGAGGUGAGAUCCUGCUGUUUCCCAUGCGCGGUACUACCAAGCAUCGAGCAGUAGGCGCAUCACCGGCCCGUCCCAUGACGUAGUCAUUAAGUCUUCGGACCAGUGCAUCGUCGGGGCGGAGCAUGAGCGUACAUGUUGAGACCCGAAAGAUGGUGAACUAUGCUUGUGCAGGUUGAAGCCAGAGGAAACUCUGGUGGAGGACCG
rnacentral:sRNA from 1 species